rnacentral:tRNA from 1 species
GGGCCCAUAGCUCAGCUGGUCAGAGCAUCUGACUCAUAAUCAGAGGGUCCCUGGUUNNGUUCAAGCCCAGGUGGGCCCA